UUGGUCAUUUAGAGGAAGUAAAAGUCGUAACAAGGUUUCCGUAGGUGAACCUGCGGAAGGAUCAUUAAAGAGUAAGGGUGCUCAGCGCCCGACCUCCAACCCUUUGUUGUUAAAACUACCUUGUUGCUUUGGCGGGACCGCUCGGUCUCGAGCCGCUGGGGAUUCGUCCCAGGCGAGCGCCCGCCAGAGUUAAACCAAACUCUUGUUAAUUAAACCGGUCGUCUGAGUUAAAAUUUUGAAUAAAUCAAAACUUUCAACAACGGAUCUCUUGGUUCUCGCAUCGAUGAAGAACGCAGCGAAAUGCGAUAAGUAAUGUGAAUUGCAGAAUUCAGUGAAUCAUCGAAUCUUUGAACGCACAUUGCGCCCCUUGGUAUUCCGAGGGGCAUGCCUGUUCGAGCGUCAUUACACCACUCAAGCUAUGCUUGGUAUUGGGUGCCGUCCUUAGUUGGGCGCGCCUUAAAGACCUCGGCGAGGCCUCACCGGCUUUAGGCGUAGUAGAAUUUAUUCGAACGUCUGUCAAAGGAGAGGACUUCUGCCGACUGAAACCUUUUAUUUUUCUAGGUUGACCUCGGAUCAGGUAGGGAUACCCGCUGAACUUAAGCAUAUCAAUAAG
rnacentral:rRNA from 1 species